AAUUUUGGACAAUGGGGGCAACCCUGAUCCAGCCAUCCCGCGUGUGCGAUGAAGGCCUUCGGGUUGUAAAGCACUUUGGGCAGGGAAGAAAAGGCUCUGGCUAAUACCUGGAGCUGCUGACGGUACCCGCAGAAUAAGCACCGGCUAACUACGUGCCAGCAGCCGCGGUAAUACGUAGGGUGCAAGCGUUAAUCGGAAUUACUGGGGGUAAAGCGUGCGCAGGCGGUGCCGCAAGAAGGAUGUGACAUCCCAGGGCUUAACCUUGGAACUGCAUUCUUAACUGCCGGGCUAGAGUAUGUCAGAGGGGGGUAGAAUUCCGCGUGUAGCAGUGAAAUGCGUAGAGAUGCGGAGGAAUACCGAUGGCGAAGGCAGCCCCCUGGGAUAAUACUGACGCUCAUACACGAAAGCGUGGGGAGCAAAC
rnacentral:rRNA from 1 species